rnacentral:rRNA from 1 species
UGUGUAGGCGGAUUCCUAAGUACCUUGUGAAAUCCCACGGCUCAACCGUGGAACUGCUCGGUAUACUGGGUGUCUUGAGCCACUUAGGGGCUACCGGAACAAAUGGUGGAGCGGUGAAAUGCGCAGAUAUCAUUUGGAACGCCAAUGGUGAAAACAGGUAGCUGGGAGUGUGCUGACGCUGAGACACGAAAGCCAGGGGAGCGAACGGGAUUAGAUACCCCGGUAGUCCUGGCCGUAAACGAUGUCCACUAGAUCGUAGCAGCUCUGACGUUGUUAUGGUCGAAGCAAAAGUGCUAAGUGGACCGCCUGGGAAGUACGGUCGCAAGGCUAAA